UACGAAGGACCCGAGCGUUAUCCGGAUUUAUUGGGUUUAAAGGGUGCGUAGGCGUCCUGGAAAGUUACGGUUGAAAUCUCCUUGCUUAACAAGGAAACUGGCCGUAAAACUAUCAGGAUUGAGUACAUUUGAAGCGGGCGGAAUGUGUCAUGUAGCGGUGAAAUGCUUAGAUAUGACACAGAACACCAAUUGCGAAGGCAGCUCACUACGCGAAUAUUGACACUGAGGCACGAAAGCGUGGGGAUCAAACAGG
rnacentral:rRNA from 1 species